CUAACGGGUGAGUAAUGCGUGACCAACCUGCCCCAUGCUCCAGAAUAGCUCUUGGAAACGGGUGGUAAUGCUGGAUGCUCCAACUUGACGCAUGUCUUGUUGGAAAGUGUUUAGUGGCAUGGGAUGGGGUCGCGUCCUAUCAGCUUGUAGGCGGGGUAAUGGCCCACCUAGGCUUCGACGGGUAGCCGGCCUGAGAGGGCGGACGGCCACAUUGGGACUGAGAUACGGCCCAGACUCCUACGGGAGGCAGCAGGU
rnacentral:rRNA from 1 species